rnacentral:rRNA from 1 species
UGGGGUUCGAGUUGUAAUUUGAAGAGGGUGUUUCGGGCGAGGCUCCGGCCUAAGUUCCUUGGAACAGGGCGUCAAAGAGGGUGAGAAUCCCGUCUGUGGCCGGUGACCGAGUUCAUGUGAAACCCCUUCGACGAGUCGAGUUGUUUGGGAAUGCAGCUCUAAAUGGGUGGUAUAUUUCAUCUAAAGCUAAAUACCGGCCAGAGACCGAUAGCGCACAAGUAGAGUGAUCGAAAGAUGAAAAGCACUUUGGAAAGAGAGUUAAAAAGUACGUGAAAUUGUUGAAAGGGAAGCGCUUGCCACCAGACCUGUCGUCGGGUGAUCAGCCGUCGUUCUCGGCGGUGCACUCGCCCGUGCGCAGGCCAGCAUCGGUUCAGGCGGCUGGAUAAAGGUCCCGGGAAUGUAGCUCCUUCCGGGGAGUCUUAUAGCCCGGGGUGCAAUGCGGCCAGCCUGGACCGAGGACCGCGCUUCGGCAAGGAUGCUGGCGUAAUGGUUGCAAGCGGCCCGUCUUGAAACACGGACCAAGGAGUCUAACAUCUAUGCGAGUGUUCGGGUGUCAAACCCGUGCGCGGAAUGAAAGUGAACGGAGGUGGGAACCCUGAAGGGCGCACC